UAAAAAGGAACAUCGACUAAGUUCCGCAUGUCCUGUGCGAACGUCGAUGGCACUCACAUCGUGUGAG
rnacentral:sRNA from 1 species